rnacentral:rRNA from 1 species
UACGAAGGGGGCUAGCGUUGUUCGGAAUCACUGGGCGUAAAGCGCACGUAGGCGGAUUGUUAAGUCAGGGGUGAAAUCCUGGAGCUCAACUCCAGAACUGCCUUUGAUACUGAGAGCCUUGAGUUCGGGAGAGGUGAGUGGAACUGCGAGUGUAGAGGUGAAAUUCGUAGAUAUUCGCAAGAACACCAGUGGCGAAGGCGGCUCACUGGCCCGAUACUGACGCUGAGGUGCGAAAGCGUGGGGAGCAAACAGG